CGCGUAGGCGGCCGAGCAAGUCUGAGGUGAAAUCCCCCGGCUCAACCGGGGAACUGCCUCAGAAACUGCUCGGCUUGAGUCCCGGAGAGGGUAGCGGAAUUCCCAGUGUAGCGGUGAAAUGCGUAGAUAUUGGGAGGAACACAGUGGCGAAGGCGGCUAUCUGGACGGGUACUGACGCUGAGGCGCGAAAGCUAGGGGAGCAAACA
rnacentral:rRNA from 1 species